rnacentral:rRNA from 1 species
UACAGAGGUCUCAAGCGUUGUUCGGAUUCAUUGGGCGUAAAGGGUGCGUAGGUGGCGCUGUAAGUCGGGUGUGAAAUUUCGGAGCUUAACUCCGAAACUGCAUUCGAUACUGCGGUGCUUGAGGACUGGAGAGGAGACUGGAAUUCAUGGUGUAGCGGUGAAAUGCGUAGAUAUCUGGAGGAACACCGGUGGCGAAGGCGACAUCCUGGACCGGUAUUGACGCUGAGGCGCGAAAGCCAGGGGAGCAAACGGG